UAUUAUAAGAGUUUGAUCCUGGCUCAGAAUAAACGUUAACGAUUAGCUUAACACAUGCAAAUUAAAUGAAUUUAAAUAUUUUAAAUUAAUGGUGAACGGGUGAGUAAAACAUAGAAAUUAACCUUGAAAUAUUAUUUAAUGUAUGAAAAGAUUUAAUCUCUUUGAGACAAGUCUAUGUAAGAUUAAGUUGUUGGUAUAUUAAAAGCAUACCAAGCUUACGAUCUUUAGUUGGUCUGUGAGGAUGAACAACCACAUUGGAAUUGAGAUAAGGUCCAAACUUUGUAAAAAGGCAGCAGUGAGGAAUUUUGGGCAAUGGGCGAAAGCCUGACCCAGCUAGAUCGUUUAUGUGAAGAAAACUUUUAGUUUUAAAACAUUAAAAUUAAAAAAAUAAUGAUUUGUUAAAAAAAAGUCCUGGCUAAUUCCGUGCCAGCAGCCGCGGUAAAACGGGAAGGGCAAACGUUAUUCGAAUUUAUUGGGCGUAAAGCAUAUGUAGGUGGAUAAUUAACUUUUAGUUUAAAUCUUAAAUUUUAUUUUUAUUACGACUAAAAAAGUGAUUUUCUAGAGUUCAAAAGAAGGUUAUGGAAUUUUAAAUGUAACAGUAAAAUGUUUUGAUAUUUAAAAGAACCUCUAAGGUGUAAACAAUAAUCUAGGAUGAAACUGACACUAAGAUAUUAAAGCAUGGGUAGCAAAAGGGAUUAGAUACCCCUGUAGUCCAUGCCCUGAACGAUGAGUGUUGAUUUUUGGUUAUUCAGAAAUAAAGUAAACACAUUAAACACUCCGCCUGGGAACUACGAUCGCAAGAUUAAAACUCAAAGGAAUUGACGGGAACCUACACAAGCAGUGGAGCAUGUGGUUUAAAUCGAUAAUACGCGCGAAAUCUUACCAAUUUUUGAAUAUUUACAGGUGUUGCAUGGCUGUCGUCAGUCCGUGCCGUGAGGCGUUUGGUUCAUUCCAAUAAACGGACAAAACUCUUAUGUAUUUUUGAAUAUAUACUGUUAAAGAUAUAUUAAAGGAAGGAGAGAACGACGUCAAGUCCUCAUGACCCUAAUAAAUUGGGCUACUUUCAUGUGCUACAAUGGUCUAUUCAAAAAGAAGCAAAAAUGUGAAUUUAAGCAAAUCUUAAUUAAAAUAUACUAUAUUCAGAUUAUUUUCUGCAAUUCGAAAAUAUGAAGAUGGAAUUGCUAGUAAUCGUAAAUUAGAAUGUUACGGUGAAUAAGUUCUUAGGUUUUGUACACACCGCCCGUCACGCUAUGGGAAUUUAUUUUAUUUGAAAAUUCUAAUCAAUUAGGAUUUAUAAUAAAAAAAGGACUGAAGUGAAGUCGUAACAAGGUAGCCGUAGGGGAACCUGCGGCUGGAAAAUAAAAAUA
rnacentral:rRNA from 1 species